rnacentral:rRNA from 1 species
GACGAACGCUGGCGGCGUGCUUAACACAUGCAAGUCGAACGGAAAGGCCCUGCUUUUGUGGGGUGCUCGAGUGGCGAACGGGUGAGUAACACGUGAGUAACCUGCCCUUGACUUUGGGAUAACUUCAGGAAACUGGGGCUAAUACCGGAUAGGAGCUCCUGCUGCAUGGUGGGGGUUGGAAAGUUUCGGCGGUUGGGGAUGGACUCGCGGCUUAUCAGCUUGUUGGUGGGGUAGUGGCUUACCAAGGCUUUGACGGGUAGCCGGCCUGAGAGGGUGACCGGCCACAGUGGGACUGAGACACGGACCAGACCCCUACGGGAGGCAGCAGUGGAGAAUAUUGCACAAUGGGCGGGAGCCAGAUGCAGCACCGCCGCGGGCGGGAUGACGGCCUUCGGGUUAUGAACCGCUUUCGCCUGUGACGAAGAGUGAGUGACGGUAAUGGGUAAAGAAGCACCGGCUAACUACGUG